AAACUUAAAGGAAUUGACGGGUCCCGCACAAGCAGCGGAGCGUGUGGUUUAAUUCGUUGCUACACGAAGAACCUUACCUGGGUUUGACAUAGCAGUGGUAGGGAAGCGAAAGCGGACCGACCCUUCGGGGAGCUGUUACAGGUGUUGCAUGGCUGUCGUCAGCUCGUGUCGUGAGAUGUUCGGUUAAGUCCGCUAACGAGCGCAACCCGCGUUGUGUGUUACAAGUGUCACACAAUACCGCCGGUAUUAAGUCGGAGGAAGGUGCGGAUGACGUCAAGUCAGCAUGACCUUUAUAUCCAGGGCUACACACACGCUACAAUGGUCGGCACAACGGGCUGCGAUACCGCGAGGUGGAGCGAAUCCCAGAAAGCCGGUCUCAGUUCGGAUUGGGGUCUGCAACUCGACCCCAUGAAGUCGGAGUCGCUAGUAAUCGCAGAUCAGCAACGCUGCGGUGAAUACGUUCCCGGGCCUU
rnacentral:rRNA from 1 species